GAUGAACGCUGGCGGCGUGCCUAACACAUGCAAGUCGAACGGAGUUGUUAUUAGGAAGUUUUCGGAUGGAAUAAUAAUAACUUAGUGGCGGACGGGUGAGUAACGCGUGGGUAACCUGCCUCAUACAGGGGGAUAACAGUUGGAAACGGCUGCUAAAACCGCAUGACGUUGCGAUGUCGCAUGACGAUGCAAUGAAAUAUUUAUAGGUAUGGGAUGGGCCCGCGUCUGAUUAGCUAGUUGGUGAGGUAAUGGCCCACCAAGGCGACGAUCAGUAGCCGGCUUGAGAGAGUGACCGGCCACAUUGGGACUGAGACACGGCCCAAACUCCUACGGGAGGCAGCAGUGGGGAAUAUUGCACAAUGGGGGAAACCCUGAUGCAGCGACGCCGCGUGAGUGAAGAAGUAUUUCGGUAUGUAAAGCCCUAUCAGCAGGGAAGAAAAUGACGGUACCUGACUAAGAAGCCCCGGCUAACUACGUGCCAGCAGCCGCAGUAAUAC
rnacentral:rRNA from 1 species